rnacentral:misc_RNA from 1 species
AGGCAAAGUACAUCAAAUUUGAAGAGGAAAAGAAUAAAUUGAAGGGAACAAAACCCUUUAAAUUAUUCCUAUUAUAAGAACUUAGAACAACAACAAUAAUAACAAUAAUAAUAGUAACAACAUCCAGUAAAAACUCUUGGAAUAAAAUGGGACUAAAAAAAGUUGAGAAACUGAGUUUUCUUGGUUAGUUUCAGAUAUCCUUGAAGAUGGAAAACAAAUCACCAUUGAUGUAGUCAUUAUCGACGAGGCUGACCAAGAAGUAACUGUUCUGAACUUGUUCAAGCAAUUUUCUUGAUGGAUCAGUCUCUGGGUAUAAUUGAGCCCAUCCUCUUGACCAGAUUUCAAAUGCCUCAUCCUUCCAUAUCAUGAAGCUGGCGGGAUCAACGACAGUUGGUUGUAUAAUUUCCUUAGCUGGGAAAACUCCCCAUGUCACAGCGUUGAUGUCGGUUUGGUUGACGUUGGAGAUCCAGUUUCCUUCCUUGUUUACAGCCAUGUAAGUUAGGUAAGGGAAAGACUUGCAUUUCUCAACGAGGGCGUUCAACUUCUCCUGAGAGCAGAAGAACUCCAAGUAUGCCUUUUGAUAAACAUAUCCGCCGGGGCCACCCCAUCCAACAGAAGGAGAGUCGGACUUCUCAGCAUUAACUGCUGGUUGGCUGUUAAUAGUCAGGAAGCCUUUCGUGUUGACCUGACCCAACUUUUCGUUUAUGAUCUUUGUCUCUGGCUGAAGACCAUCUAACUCAGACCAUGGGCAGCUUCUCAGCUUUCCAAGACAGUAGUCCUUGAAUUUCUCGUAGAUAUCUUCCACGCUAUUCAAAGCCGCAGCCCAUUCCUCUUGAAGCUUCUUAUCUCUUGAGCGUGCACGCAUGAACUGAUAGUCGGUAAGUGCUCCGUAUGAUGGAUUUUGAGCAUUGCUCCAUCUACCAUGUGGGUAUUCAUCCCAACCUGUGGUCCUUGAAAUGUAGCUCUUUGGACGAUUCGCCCAAAAUAUAGGACGCACAUCCUCCUUGACACGGAAAAUAUUUGCAGGACGUCUCCAAGGCAAUGGCCUAGAAAUUUUGGACUCUUCGAUUAAUCCAAGAUUCAUCAAAAUGGCCAAUGCUGAUUUCUCC